rnacentral:tRNA from 1 species
GUCAGCAUGUCCGAGUGGUCAAGGAGUGUGACUAGAAAUCACAUGCCGAGAGGCUCAGAGGUUCGAAUCCUCUUGCUGACG